UGGGGAAUAUUGCACAAUGGGCGCAAGCCUGAUGCAGCCAUGCCGCGUGUAUGAAGAAGGCCUUCGGGUUGUAAAGUACUUUCAGUCGGGAGGAAGGUGGUAAGGUUAAUAACCUUAUCAAUUGACGUUACCGACAGAAGAAGCACCGGCUAACUCCGUGCCAGCAGCCGCGGUAAUACGGAGGGUGCAAGCGUUAAUCGGAAUUACUGGGCGUAAAGCGCACGCAGGCGGUCUGUCAAGUCGGAUGUGAAAUCCCCGGGCUCAACCUGGGAACUGCAUGCGAAACUGGCAGGCUAGAGUCUUGUAGAGGGGGGUAGAAUUCCAGGUGUAGCGGUGAAAUGCGUAGAGAUCUGUAGGAAUACCGGUGGCGAAGGCGGCCCCCUGGACAAAGACUGACGCUCAGGUGCGAAAGCGUGGGGAGCAAACAGG
rnacentral:rRNA from 1 species